rnacentral:rRNA from 1 species
AUUGAACGCUGGCGGCAGGCCUAACACAUGCAAGUCGAGCGGCAGCGGAAAGUAGCUUGCUACUUUGCCGGCGAGCGGCGGACGGGUGAGUAAUGUCUGUGAAACUGCCUGAUGGAGGGGGAUAACUACUGGAAACGGUAGCUAAUACCGCAUAACGUCGCAAGACCAAAGAGGGAGACCUUCGGGCCUCUUGCCAUCAGAUGUGCCCAGAUGGGAUUAGCUAGUAGGUGGGGUAACGGCUCACCUAGGCGACGAUCCCUAGCUGGUCUGAGGGGAUGACCAGCCACACUGGAACUGAGACACGGUCCAGACUCCUACGGGAGGCAGCAGUGGGGAAUAUUGCACAAUGGGCGCAAGCCUGAUGCAGCCAUGCCGCGUGUAUGAAGAAGGCCUUCGGGUUGUAAAGUACUUUCAGCGGGGAGGAAGGCGUUGAGGUUAAUAACCUCAGCGAUUGACGUUACCCGCAGAAGAAGCACCGGCUAACUCCGUGCCAGCCGCCGCCGUAA